AGGCUCAGAAACCCACGCUUCGCGCCCCCUGAACCCGAUCCAGGCAGUGCAUGCAGAACGAGCCUGGUUAACUCACGUGUAGGACUCAAAGUCUCCAUUGCUUAUGGCUUCGAUCAGCUGUUCUGUCACUUUGAUAAUUUCCUGUUUGCGCACUGUAAGGCUGCCUCAGGCCCAGAGAAGGUGGAAUCCGAGGGCAUCCAGGCUGGAUGCUGGAAGAACUGCAGCAGACCCGAAACCCUAAGUCUUUUCUGAGUGACUGAGGAAACGGAGGCCCAUCCAGGGUCACAAUUUGCUCAAGGACAUGGAGCAUACGGUACAGUUUGGCUCACAGCCCAGAGGACCCUGGUGCUUCUGCCCAUAUGUUCACACCCCACGUUCUCAUAAGACCAACCCCACACAGCUGCUUGGAACUCACUACCUACCUCUAAACUUCAAUGCCAGCUAAUAGAAGUGAGGUCCUGAAAUCUGGAUCCGGCAUGGCCCUGCAGGCUCCAGUAUGGACCAAGCCUUGGAAGCUGAGGCACACGGCCUUUGCCUGUGCUCCUGGACCCUCCAGCAUCUUUCCACAAGCGGCUCCUUGGUCCCCUGAUGCUUCUUGCUGCCAUCAUAAGGACCCCAAAGCGAGCACCUGCUCCCCGGUUUCCAUCCUCCCCUGACCAGGCUUCAUCUCUCAGGAAUGGAGUUUCCAGGGCCACUGCAGGACUGGGCAGUGUCUGGGGAAGCCACACCCACUACAAGCCAAGGCCAGCCACAGCGUGGUAGGUGGGAACAACAUGGAGGGGUCUGCUCAGCAGGCCAAGACUCCCUACCUUUGGUGUCUUCGUCCUCGAUGGUGGUGUUAGUGCUCUCAGAAGAUUCCUGCCAAAGAGAAGAGGGAGGCGGUGAGGAGGGCCUGGGUGCGGGAGGGGCUGGGUUGGGUUGGUGACCUGGCUGCCUGGUGAUUCGCUGGGCUGUGUGGUCUCCCAGGCUCUGCCGUCCAGAUGCUUCAUCCAAACCCUGCCAGACCCUCCAGCCUGAGGGGACCCAGCUAAGCAGGUGGCUGAUGCAGGGCCGGUAUAAAGCGGUUCCUGCAAGGAGAUCCCUGGCCUCUCUGGGGGUGGGAGGGUUGAGAGGGACUUUUGGGGUCCUUUCUGCUCAGGGUGGGCAAAGAAGGGGUACAGAAGAGCAGAAAGACGCCGUGGAAGCCACAGAGUGGGAGAGAAAUACACACACUGGCAGGAAAAAAGAAGAAAGAGAGAGGCAGGCCCAGUGUGAGAGAGGGCGGGCUUUUCAGAGGGGAGAAAAACCGCGCAGCACAACGGACACAGCCAUGAAACCAGAAGAAGAGGGACAUGGGCCACCGUGUCACCCCUAACACACUCUAAACAGAGGCAUAGUUGUGGUUCCUCUGCUGGAGUUGCACAAGCUCAAAGAACCUCCAUGAUGUCUGCUGCUUUGGCCAAACCAAGCCCCACCCUAGCAGCAAACAGCACAAAGCAAGCCCUGACUGAGCUCCUGAGCAGAGGGUUGGGAGAAGCCAUAAACCAAGGACUGGACUUGGUUCAAAUCCACCUUUGGACUGGAGGAAGGCCUUGGAUCUGCUGUCGGCCUGCUGGUCUGGGCCAUGGAAUUGGAGGUGUCAACAGAAACACGCAAACAACACACACACACACAACACACAUAUUGUCACACAAUGCACACGUACCACGCAUGCCCUGAGCACGCUCUCCCCCGCCCUGGGUUCCUGUGCGGCCUGCAGGAGGGAGGCAGGAGCAAGGGAGCAAGGGUCUGAGGCCCAGCAUUUACCCGUGGUUGGGAGACGGCAGACACUCACCAUUAACUGAACGCUGGAACUGGACUUUCUUUUCUGGAAAAACAAGGAGAAGAGAUGGGACAGGAAAAGACACAGCGUGAAAACAGCAGGGAGGUUAGGAAGGAGGAUGGCCUCGGGGCCAUCCCCUGUGGUCCUUUCUGAUCAGCAACGUCUAGCCUGGUAUUUUCUGGGUCCUCAAAGGCCUGUACUUGGCUCUACCGAUCUAAGUUCCAAGUUCAAGGCCAAGCUUCCCUUCCACUAGGGCCAUCUGCCAUCCCUUGCUCUAAUAGGAAAGUUUGUCUUGGAUCUUAGAUGCUGGCUGCCUGAUGCGGGUCGCUCAGAUCUAGAGAUGAGCCCCCAGACUCUUCCUGAUUUUCUACUAAACAGACUCUGCUCCUAA